ACUUCAUUCACCUGAAUCAACAGCGUCAAGGCAGUGGAAUCAGAGUGUGGUGCUAGACCAAUAACCUUGCUUGCUUGUGCACAAGGUGGAUAGUAGUUCAUCCUUAUUCCCUGUGUUCCAUCUUCAAAGAAGCUUGCAAACGUCUCUAGAUUCGGAAUGAUAUGCACAGAAUUUAUUACCUGAAUGAAGGAGGGAUAGUUGGCCAAAAUCUCAUGUUUCUCAAGGGCACAGGCCGGGGAAGAAGGAAAAGCAUGUCACCCCAAUCAAGCUUCUGGUCUUCAGACACUACAAAGGCUUGGCCGUAGCCUUCAAUGUUAUUCGGUAGCUGGGCACAAGCCAACUUCUCAUUCAAUGAUUAGGUACCUGGAAGAAGCCCCAGUCCUUGCACGCCAAAUGGAGUUUCUGCUGUUCAUCAUCAUGGCCUAAUUUGCUCAUAUCAAUCACGGGAAUCUGAUAGGAUUCAUCGAUGGAAACUACAUCGAACUCGACCUCUGGCCUGAUAUACCUGGAUGGGAUGUCUUUCAAGUUCUUGGAUGCAAGAGCUUGGACCUUUUCGACAGGUAUAGAACCACCAAAUCCCUCUCUGUUGAUCACCCCUGUCUCCAUUUUCUAUGAAGCUGUAUAGUUCUCAAAUCUAACGAAAGUCUGAUUUAUUUUCAUGCGCUGAGGGGGCUUUUUUGGAUAGGCGAUGAGUUUGGCUAAAAUAUGUGCACAAAAAAUUUAAUUUAUUUGAUAUUUAUAAACAAUUACAUUUUAUUGAAGUUAUACAUUAAAUAAUUUUUUAUUAAUGAUUUUUUAUUUUUAUUAUUUAAUAUUAAAUUUAUAAUAAAAGUUCGUGUCUAAUUAUUACAUAAAAAUAAAUUUUAUAUAUUUAUUAUGUAAUAAACAUAAUUUAUUAUAUAUUUAUUUCUUAAGUAAUACAUAAACUAAUGCUUAUUAAAAGCAAGAAUACCAAAAAAAGAAGAAGAAAGAAUUAACUAGUGGGAUAAAAUGUAAAUAGCCAUUUUUCACAAGUUAGCUUUCUCCAGUUAAAAUUUCAAGUUGCUGUGUGAUUGAAAUGGAAUAUUCUCUAAAACUUCCACCUCUCCCAUAGUUAAAAUGAAAUCCAAAGGGGGUCUAAAUUCUACAGCCAGUUUGUCGCAUUGUUAGCUAAUUUCUAAGCGUCGUUUGCAACCUUGUCCGUCCUUUCUCAAUUUGAUAGGAAUUAUCCGGCCACAUUGAAAGCCAUAGGGAAAAGGACAAAGCUUACCCAAUGCCAUUAUUGGUUUCUAGAGUUUCUUUAUCAGUCACAUCUAAUUUUUUGUAACCUACUCUGCGGAAAACUGAAACUAGACCAGGAAAUAGGAAUCCAUGUAAGUCGGUUUUAACUUGAGAAAGGGUUGUUCUUCAUGCUUACUACAAAUAGGAGCAUUAAGUUGGAUUGUUGAUUGGUUACCCACUAUAACCAGUAUAUAUUUACAUUUUUAGGAGUUUUACAUGAAAUGCUUGUAAAGCAACCAAGGUUGUUAGGCACUUGAGAGACUGGACCACAUCCAACCGCGGGUCUCCAAACUACACUAUAACGUGGUUUGAACUUCAAGUAUUGCUACUCUGCUUCAUAUGUUUCCAGUACUUUACACUACCUCCUUAUGAUUAAAAAAGCACAGGCCAAUUCACCUUGUUGAGAGGAUCAAAUGAACUUGUCAUAGUCAGUCAUUUAUGUUUAAACCCUUUCCAUUAUUCCGAACUGAAAAUGCCAAUUAAAAAGCAUUCAAAGAAACAGAGUAACUAGACAUGCUACAACUUAUUUUGUGUAAUUAGAGAACUCACCCUUCAAACACAGCUACAUUAUAAUUAUAUACAGAUUGAUAUUACGACAUGGAUGAUAAAACAAAAAACAAAAAAACUUAAGCUUUUUGGGACACUCUAGCUAAGGGAAAAAGAAGCAAAGAAUGUUAGCAUGUAUACAGUCAAACCCAAGUUUUAAAGCUGUUUAAAUGCAACCAAAUAGUCUGACUCCCCCCUUUACAAAUUACUUAAUCCUGCUAUCAGUUGUUGAAUGAUAUGUAAUGUAUUAUUGAUACCCUUGCAUGGCAGCUUGGAGCCAGUUUCAUGAAGGAGUAACCUUUUCUUUCAUCUCAUUGAGUUGUUGGAUUUCCUGCUUCAGAAACAAUGCCUGUAAUUAGACAUAAAAGCGUAAAGAAGCAACAGAAAUUGUUUUUGUAAAAUCUAGCCACUGAAAGAGCAAUUUGUACAUCACGGACUAUCUAGUGAAGAGCAAUUGAAAUAUUACCCAAGAAGAAUGCCAAGUUCAUUUUCAUGAUCUCAGGACUUCACGUGUAUCUGGAAACCAGGAGGGAAAAUGGAGAAGAGCCGGAUGCUUUUUAAUUAAGAUUCGGGUUGGCAACCUUACGAGCAGAAAAAAAAGGUCUACGGCAGGUAUCACCAAACAUUGGGUUCAAACUCGAGAUUGAUCUUUCCCAUUAUUGUUUCUUACAUUUGAAUAUUGUAUAUAAAUGAAAAGUGAAGGUUACAACACAGUUACUACA